rnacentral:sRNA from 1 species
UUGGCCAGUUUAGUGCUCUGAGGUCUGGUUGCCAAUGAGAAUGUGUGGUGUGAGCCUUGGGCCCUGGAUCCCCUCUCAUCGACUCAUUAUCCACCUCACACCAGGCCACUUUGGAGUUGUCUACCACGGAGAAUACAUAGACCAGGCCCAGAAUCGAAUCCAAUGUGCCAUCAAGUCACUAAGUCGCAUCACAGAGAUGCAGCAGGUGGAGGCCUUCCUGCGAGAGGGGCUGCUCAUGCGUGGCCUGAACCACCUGAAUGUGCUGGCUCUCAUUGGUAUCAUGUUGCCACCUGAGGGCCUGCCCCAUGUGCUGCUGCCCUAUAUGUGCCACGGUGACCUGCUCCAGUUCAUCCGCUCACCUCAGCGGAACCCCACCGUGAAGGACCUCAUCAGCUUUGGCCUGCAGGUAGCCCGCGGCAUGGAGUACCUGGCAGAGCAGAAGUUUGUGCACAGGGACCUGGCUGCGCGGAACUGCAUGCUGGACGAGUCAUUCACAGUCAAGGUGGCUGACUUUGGUUUGGCCCGCGACAUCCUGGACAGGGAGUACUAUAGUGUUCA